CGGGACGUGGCGCAGUCUGGUAGCGUACUUGCAUGGGGUGCAAGAAGUCGCAGGUUCAAAUCCUGUCGUCCCGA
rnacentral:tRNA from 1 species